rnacentral:rRNA from 1 species
AUUGAACGCUGGCGGCAUGCUUUACACAUGCAAGUCGAACGGCAGCGCGGGCUUCGGCCUGGCGGCGAGUGGCGAACGGGUGAGUAAUACAUCGGAACGUGCCCCGUCGUGGGGGAUAGCUCGGCGAAAGCCGGAUUAAUACCGCAUACGACCUGAGGGUGAAAGCGGGGGAUCUUCGGACCUCGCGCUAUUGGAGCGGCCGAUGGCCGAUUAGCUAGUUGGUGGGGUAAAGGCCUACCAAGGCGACGAUCUGUAGCUGGUCUGAGAGGACGACCAGCCACACUGGGACUGAGACGCGGCCCAGACUCCUACGGGAGGCAGCAGUGGGGAAUUUUGGACAAUGGGCGAAAGCCUGAUCCAGCAAUGCCGCGUGUGUGAUGAAGGCCUUCGGGUUGUAAAGCACUUUUGGCGGGAACGAAAAGGACUGUGCCAAUACCACGGUUCGAUGACGGUACCCGCAGAAUAAGCACCGGCUAACUACGUG